rnacentral:rRNA from 1 species
CAAUAGCGUAUAUUAAAGUUGUUGCGGUUAAAAAGCUCGUAGUUGGAUUUCUGCUGAGAACGACCGGUCCGCCCUUUGGGUGUGUAUCUGGCUCUUUCUUGGCAUCUUCUUGGUGAACGUUGCUGCACUUGACUGUGUGGAGCGCUACCCAGGACUUUUACUUUGAGGAAAUUAGAGUGUUUCAAGCAGGCAUACGCCUUGAAUACAUUAGCAUGGAAUAAUAAGAUAGGACCUCGGUUCUAUUUUGUUGGUUUCUAGAGCUGAGGUAAUGAUUAAUAGGGAUAGUUGGGGGCAUUCGUAUUUAACUGUUAGAGGUGAAAUUCUUGGAUUUGUUAAAGACGGACUACUGCGAAAGCAUUUGCCAAGGAUGUUUUCAUUGA